GGAAGGGAAAGUCUAUUACAUCAUGCAUGUAGAGCACCAUAGGCUGUCUGGGGCACUCUGAACAAUGGAGGCAAUUGAAGAAUUCAAAUGAGUAAGACACCUGGGGCUUGCAGAUGAGAACUCAUUGAGGAAGAAGCAGAUACCUACCAGUGCAGCCAAUGUGGAAGAGUAUCCCGAGAGUUUGAGAGCGUAGCCAUCAUCCUCACAUGGUAAAAAAUAAAAAAAUAAAAGCAGCCUCCAGCUGCCGUGUUGAAAAGACUGGAGAACAUCAGCGUGAAAAGCCAGGAACCAAUUCAAUGGCUAGUACAGUAAUCCCGGCAAGGAGGGCAGGGCGCUGUGGUCUGUGGAGACAGCAGCGGAGGUGAGAAGUGCUCAAUAGCUGCUGCUGUUGGGAAGGGAGCGUCCACGGGAUUUGCUGAUGGAUUGGCUAUGAUACGUGAGAGGAAGAGGGACAUCAAAGAGGACUCCAAGCAUUUUGUCCCGAGCAACUACAAGGCUAGCGUUGGCAUUUACUGAGAUGACAGCAAUUGCCAGCGGGAACUAUUUGGGGCAAGAGGUGGAAUGGGAAGCUCCGUUUCGGGUAUCAUUGAAUUGGAGAGGCUCAUGACCCCUCAAAGUACAGAGCUUGAGGUGGGU